UACGAAGGGGGCUAGCGUUGCUCGGAAUCACUGGGCGUAAAGGGUGCGUAGGCGGGUCUUUAAGUCAGGGGUGAAAUCCUGGAGCUCAACUCCAGAACUGCCUUUGAUACUGAAGAUCUUGAGUUCGGGAGAGGUGAGUGGAACUGCGAGUGUAGAGGUGAAAUUCGUAGAUAUUCGCAAGAACACCAGUGGCGAAGGCGGCUCACUGGCCCGAUACUGACGCUGAGGCACG
rnacentral:rRNA from 1 species